CAAGUAAAUCAACAGCAAUUCUCAGAGCAAUCAUGAGCAAUACGGUGUCGUAAACGGGGGCAGAAAUGUAGUUACUGGGGGGGCAAAUGCAUUCUCUGGGGGGGCAAUUGCCCCCCAGAUAUAUAGUUACGUAAAAAAGGCACUGUAACAUGUCAAACAUUUGUCAAACAUGGACGAUAGUGGAAGGAGAUCGAGAGAUGAUCCAACUUUUAAAGCUGGGCAAAAACACUAUUGCUCAAAGAUUCACAUGAGAAAGCUGUUCGGAGAUGAUUCGAAACGUUUUGACAAAUUUAGUUUGUCAGUGGCUAUACCUCUGAUGGGGAAAUACUCUUGGAUUACUCAAAAAAUAUAAUUACAGAGGAAACAAUGAAACUUUUGUUUGAGCUGGCUGAAAGUAGAAAUGUUCUGGCGGCUCGGGAAAGGUUAUUUUCUUGUGAAAAGAUAAAUUUUACUGAGGUAACGAUAUAUAACCAUACCAUAUAGCUACAUCGUGUUUCAAAAACGUAAACCCUUUAUCAUCCUGUAUCAAGCCUCUUUAUAAAUACCUAUAAUUUUAUGCACUAUGACAGGUUGAAGAUUAUAAUGUUACAAACAUUAUAUAAUCUUCAACGUGAGAAAACAUCGCCUUUUUUAAAUGGAUCAAAACCUCUAUAAUGGCUAAUUAAUAUCCCGUAACACAAAACACUUCAAAGUAUUUUUUUGUAUAUCAAUAGAUUUAAUCUAUUUUCUAUGUUCUAAUGUGUAGAAAAGAGCAGUUCUUCAGGUUGCUCUUCGUAAUCGUUCCAACACACCCAUUUUUGUUGAUAGUAAAAAUGUAUGUAUAGAACUUUGAAUAUACAUUCACCCAUAUCACCUCGAAACGAAAUUUGAAUAUACGUACCGCUUUUAUAGAUUAUCGGCGGGUGCCUUUAAGUAUUAAAUUAAUAUAUAAUCAUAAAUUAAUAUUGUGUUUCUGUGUUUUCUAGCCCGGUUUAUAUGUUAUUUUUAGGAAAGGUGUGCAACUUUUUCCCUAAACGAUUUGUGUGUUCUCCAGCACAGCUUUAGCUGUGUAAUGAAACACACCAUGGUGUGUACGAAAACACACCUUCUUUGAAAACACACCUUAGAAUGUGUUAAAAUUUGGACAAGCAGAAAACACAUCUUUUGGUGUGUUUUUUUGACACACCUUGCUAUGUGUUAACACACCUUUGGAGAUGCUAUUUGCACACAUUAUGAUGUGUUAAACACACCUUUAGGUGUGUUUGAAAACCUAUUUUUAGGUGUGUUAAAAUUUGGACAAAAAAGGUGUGCAAAUUUAACACACCUUUUUUAGUGUGCGCCAGAAAAGGCGUCUUUUAUUAACGUUUUUAGAUCAUUUAACACGUCGAUAUUACUAUCAGUAUAUGUUAAAAAUAAAGCAGUCCACAAUGUAGAUUGUAGAGUAACAUUGCCUAAAGAAAAAUUUAAAAGUACGAAGUGCCUCUGCCAAAAAGUUUCGAAUUUUAAAACAAAACAUAUUUUACGAUCAUUUAUCUGCGCAUUAGCCAAGCGCAUUU